CCGACGGUGAGAGAUGAAAGCAUGGGGAGCGAACAGGAUUAGAUACCCUGGUAGUCCAUGCCGUAAACGUUGGGCACUAGGUGUGGGGCUCAUUCCACGAGUUCCGUGCCGCAGCAAACGCAUUAAGUGCCCCGCCUGGGGAGUACGGCCGCAAGGCUAAAACUCAAAGGAAUUGACGGGGGCCCGCACAAGCGGCGGAGCAUGCGGAUUAAUUCGAUGCAACGCGAAGAACCUUACCAAGGCUUGACAUACACCGGAAAAGUGCAGAGAUGUGCUCCCCGCAAGGUCGGUGUACAGGUGGUGCAUGGUUGUCGUCAGCUCGUGUCGUGAGAUGUUGGGUUAAGUCCCGCAACGAGCGCAACCCUCGUCCUAUGUUGCCAGCACGUGAUGGUGGGGACUCAUAGGAGACUGCCGGGGUCAACUCGGAGGAAGGUGGGGAUGACGUCAAAUCAUCAUGCCCCUUAUGUCUUGGGCUUCACGCAUGCUACAAUGGCCGGUACAAAGGGCUGCGAUACCGCAAGGUGGAGCGAAUCCCAAAAAGCCGGUCUCAGUUCGGAUUGGGGUCUGCAACUCGACCCCAUGAAGUCGGAGUCGCUAGUAAUCGCAGAUCAGCAACGCUGCGGUGAAUACGUUCCCGGGCCUUGUACACACCGCCCGU
rnacentral:rRNA from 1 species